UACGGGAGGCAGCAGUGGGGAAUAUUGCACAAUGGGCGCAAGCCUGAUGCAGCCAUGCCGCGUGUAUGAAGAAGGCCUUCGGGUUGUAAAGUACUUUCAGUCGUGAGGAAGGUGUUAAGGUUAAUAACCUUAGCAAUUGACGUUAGCGACAGAAGAAGCACCGGCUAACUCCGUGCCAGCAGCCGCGGUAAUACGGAGGGUGCGAGCGUUAAUCGGAAUUACUGGGCGUAAAGGGCACGCAGGCGGUUAAUUAAGUUGGAUGUGAAAUCCCCCGGGCUUAACCUGGGAAUGGCAUUCAAGACUGGUUAGCUAGAGUCUUGUAGAGGGGGUAGAAUUCCAUGUGUAGCGGUGAAAUGCGUAGAGAUGUGGAGGAAUACCGGUGGCGAAGGCGGCCCCUCGGACGAAACGAACGUGACGCUCAUGUGCGAAACGACGUGGGGAGGCAAACAAGGGAUUAGAUACC
rnacentral:rRNA from 1 species